AUUCAGCUGAUGAGUCCCAAAUAGGACGGAACGCGUGUUCUGUAU
rnacentral:hammerhead_ribozyme from 1 species